rnacentral:rRNA from 1 species
AUUGAACGCUGGCGGCAUGCUUUACACAUGCAAGUCGAACGGCAGCGCGGGCUUCGGCCUGGCGGCGAGUGGCGAACGGGUGAGUAAUACAUCGGAACGUGCCCAGUAGUGGGGGAUAGCUCGGCGAAAGCCGGAUUAAUACCGCAUACGACCUGAGGGUGAAAGCGGGGGAUCUUCGGACCUCGCGCUAUUGGAGCGGCCGAUGGCAGAUUAGCUAGUUGGUGGGGUAAAGGCCUACCAAGGCGACGAUCUGUAGCUGGUCUGAGAGGACGACCAGCCACACUGGGACUGAGACACGGCCCAGACUCCUACGGGAGGCAGCAGUGGGGAAUUUUGGACAAUGGGCGAAAGCCUGAUCCAGCAAUGCCGCGUGUGUGAUGAAGGCCUUCGGGUUGUAAAGCACUUUUGGCGGGAACGAGAAGGACUGUGCCAAUACCACGGUUCGAUGACGGUACCCGCAGAAUAAGCACCGGCUAACUACGUG